AAAUUUACAUAGUACAACAGCUACAUUUAUGUAUA
rnacentral:tRNA from 1 species